rnacentral:rRNA from 1 species
ACGAACGCUGGCGGCGUGCCUAAUACAUGCAAGUUGAGCGCUGAAGGUUGGUACUUGUACCAACUGGAUGAGCAGCGAACGGGUGAGUAACGCGUGGGGAAUCUGCCUUUGAGCGGGGGACAACAUUUGGAAACGAAUGCUAAUACCGCAUAAAAACUUUAAACACAAGUUUUAAGUUUGAAAGAUGCAAUUGCAUCACUCAAAGAUGAUCCCGCGUUGUAUUAGCUAGUUGGUUAGGUAAAGGCUCACCAAGGCGAUGAUACAUAGCCGACCUGAGAGGGUGAUCGGGCACAGUGGGACGGAGACACGGCCCCAACUCCUACGGGAGGCAGCAGUAGGGAAUCUUCGGCAAUGGACGAAAGUCUGACCGAGCAACGCCGCGUGAGUGAAGAAGGGUUUCGGAUCGUAAAACUCUGUUGGUAGAGAAGAACGUUGGUGAGAGUGGAAAGCUCAUCAAGUGACGGUAACUACCCAGAAAGGGACGGCUAACUACGUG